rnacentral:rRNA from 1 species
GAUGAACGCUGGCGGCGUGCCUAAUACAUGCAAGUCGAGCGAACAGACGAGGAGCUUGCUCCUCUGACGUUAGCGGCGGACGGGUGAGUAACACGUGGAUAACCUACCUAUCAGACUGGGAUAACUUCGGGAAACCGGAGCUAAUACCGGAUAAUAUAUUGCACCGCAUGGUUCAAUAGUGAAAGACGGUUUUGCUGUCACUUAUAGAUGGAUCCGCGCCGCAUUAGCUAGUUGGUAAGGUAACGGCUUACCAAGGCAACGAUGCGUAGCCGACCUGUGAGGGGGAUCGGCCACCCUAGAACUGAGACACGGUCCAGACGCCUAAGGGAGGCAGCAGUAGGGAAUCUUACGCAAUGGGCGAAAGCCUGACGGAGCAACGCGGAGUGAGUGAUGAAGGUCUUCGGAGCGUAAAACUCUGUUAUUAGGGAAGAACAAAUGUGUAAGUAACUAUGCACGUCUUGACGGUACCUAAUCAGAAAGCCACGGCUAACUACGUG